rnacentral:rRNA from 1 species
GACGAACGCUGGCGGCGUGCUUAACACAUGCAAGUCGAACGGAAAGGCCCUGCUUGCAGGGUACUCGAGUGGCGAACGGGUGAGUAACACGUGGGUGAUCUGCCCUGCACUUCGGGAUAAGCUUGGGAAACUGGGUCUAAUACCGGAUAGGACCGCACUUUAGUGUGUGUGGUGGAAAGUUUUUUCGGUGUAGGAUGAGCUCGCGGCCUAUCAGCUUGUUGGUGGGGUAAUGGCCUACCAAGGCGGCGACGGGUAGCCGGCCUGAGAGGGUGUACGGCCACAUUGGGACUGGGAUACGGCCCAGACUCCUACGGGAGGCAGCAGUGGGGAAUAUUGCACAAUGGGCGCAAGCCUGAUGCAGCGACGCCGCGUGGGGGAUGAAGGCCUUCGGGUUGUAAACUCCUUUCGCUAGGGACGAAGCUUUUUGUGACGGUACCUAGAUAAGAAGCACCGGCUAACUACGUG